UCACUUCAUUCUUCAUCAUCAUUUACCAAACUUACCCCUUCACUGGAAACCCUUUGUAAAACACAAAUCCUUCAUCAUCUUCAAACUCGAAUCCUUCACCUUCAACGUUCAAACUCGAAGCCCUUUACUGCAAACCCAUAAAUCAAACUCUUCACUGCCUAAAAAUCGAAACCCUUCACUGCAAAUUCAAAACCCUAUUCUCGUCAAAUUGAAACAUGAUUCUCGUUGCCUUCACCGGUCAAAUUCAGAAACCCAGGAAUUUUCGCUCAAACUCUCUUCACUGCAAACUGUUUGCUAUAAUUUGUUCUAUCUGACAGUGAAGUUUAUGAAUCUUUCUUGUGAAGGAGCCGUGUUUACCUGUAUAUACACAGAUUUUCACAAUUUUAUAUUCAAUAUAGCUUCUUGCCAUUAAAACAUAAGGUAUGUUCUCUCUUGUCCAAAAAUGUUGGAUUUCAAUUAUUCGGGCCAUCAAUUUUUCAUUGAAUUUCUUACUAUUAGGUUGUUUAAAGGUUUCAUACUACUCAUGUUAAGGGAAAAUUUUGAAAUGUCAUGUCUUGGUUCAAACGGGGGAAUAGUAAACGAAUUUGUUUGAUUUUUGGCGUAUAAUGUACAAUACAUAUUAAAAGUAGGUCAGAACAGGACUUAAAAUUUUACCCUUUGGUUAUCUAAUUCUAGCUUCCUUUUCUCUGUGCGCCAAAUAGAAUCAUGGUUACAUAGAACAAAUACAAUAGAAUUAACAAAGUAGAAGUAUUUUAUUUAUUUUAACACCAAAUAAGAUUAUGAGUUAUGGUGGUAGAUGUGGAGGAGCGAGCACUCAAAAAUGUUUGUAUUACACAUGUUUUACAAGUCGCCUAUUUGGAGUGAAACUAACAAGAUUUCAAUCAUUUUGGAUUUUAUCAAUCACAACUAUUAUCUUUUAAUUUUAUGCCUUUGAUGGUUAUGUUCAUCAACUGCUUGCUUCUUUUCUAUGAUUGCUACCUUGUGUACAUUCUUACUGAAAUGGCUGGAAGUACAUCAGAUGACUGAAAUUGUGUUCACUCAGACAUGUGAUGCAACUCAGCUUCUUGCUUUUAUUCUUAGGUAUCUCGGUUUGAAAGCCAUCCCAAUUAAUGGUCAUAUGAGUCAGGUAAUUUUACUAGACAUCUUGCAUUAUAAUUGUAAUUUGUUCUAAAAUUUCCUUUGUUUUUCCCCUUGUUAUUAUUGGAGGGCAUGCUGUGUUAGAUGGUGUGAUUCUUUAGCAGCUUCCCCCCAUUAUUUGCGUUUGUAGGUCUGCCAAUGCCACCAUGAUAUCUCUCAUUUAUAUUUAUAUUAUAAUAUGUUUCUUCUGACAGCCAAAGUAUAUAAGUUCAAGUAUGGGGAUUGUAAUAUUCUUCAUUGUACUGACAUAGCUAGAAGGGGACUAGAUAUGGAGUGGUUUACUUUGUGUUUAACUUAUUGUUCAGUUGUUUACUAAUCUAUAAUCCUCUUAGUGUCAUGUUAUUUUGCAUUUGAAUUAUAUCUCUCAAUGCUACAUAUAUAAUAGACCCUUAGUAAGUUGAUUAAUAUGUUUGAUUUGUCUAACUCGUUCUCUUUUGAUGUUGUUGUGACCGAACAGAACUGCAUUUGUUGAGGUUGUUACCAAUGUUGCACUUUUGCUACAUGAGGGUGUGAAGGUCUGUGCUCAAAUCAGUUUGGUUUUGCAAGAGGUCAAGGUGAUGUGCUCCCAAAAUUUGCCAAAUCUGAACGAAGCUUGGGGUAUGCUAAUAAACUUGUUAGCUUCUAAACUGUUAUGGAUGUACAAAAUGUUGCUUAUAAAGCUGAUUGGUAUGUUGUCUAUAUAGUGUGCAAUAUGUCACAAUCUAUGGAAGUUGUUCAUGAGUGUUGGAAGAGUGAACUUCACAUGUCUAUAGAACUGAUUUAUAUAGAAUUGGAAGAGUCUGCAUCAAUAUACUUUGUUGGAACUUGCAUCAAUAUACUUUGUUGGAACUGAAGUUUCACAUUGACAAAAGUAUUUACUGACUAGACGUUCACAUUUGAUCAGAUUCAAUUUUAGAGCCAAAAGCAACAAGUAGUUAUGAAUGCGGCUAUUAUAUCAUCAUACACAUGUUGAUCAUGGACCCAAGUACCAUUACAAUUUUAAUGAUAUGCAGUUGCCCCAACACAUUAAGAAGGGAUAUGAAUUUUAUUUUAUUUUUUAAAAUUUUGUUCAAGAUUUAGUAAUUGUAAUUGUU